rfam:Methylobacterium tarhaniae strain DSM 25844 contig_28, whole genome shotgun sequence.
GGCGUAUUUUGCCAUGGCGGAGCUCGACCGCCGGUCGCGGCCAUGAUCAGCUUCAUCGACGAUCAUCGGGAGGUCUAUGGGGUCGUCCUUCGAGAGCCUCAGGAUGAGGCCGAUCUGCAGGGUGCUGCCGAUCGCCCCG